rnacentral:tRNA from 3 species
CGGGAAGUAGCUCAGCUUGGUAGAGCACUUGGUUUGGGACCAAGGGGUCGCAGGUUCGAAUCCUGUCUUCCCGAUAU